rnacentral:snRNA from 1 species
GGAUAUGAGGGCGGCCUGACUGCGACAUCUGUCACCCGACGUUGAUUGCCAGGGUUGAUUCGGCUGAUCUGGCUAGCUAGGCCGGUGUCCCUUUUCUCCCUGGUGCCCCAUGUGCGUCCCUCUCGAAGCUGUGGCGCUAGGUGGAAAAGGAUCGUCCCCAGAGGAACCGUCCUGUGGUCAGGGGUGUGGGGAUAGCUGCGCUUCCCCACUAGAGCCUCCAAACAAGCUCUCAAGAUGUUUAUGUGUUGUCCUCCCUGGAAUCCACAGGAAAUGCAGGAAAGAGUCAGAGGCAAAAGUAAAGCUAGAGAGGGUAUGCGGCCAGUGACU